rnacentral:rRNA from 1 species
AUGUGUGUGGGCCGAGCGGCCAGGUGGAGCUCCGCCUCCGAUGGCGAGAUCUCGCCCUACCUCAUUUCCACUAACACUGUCAGCACCCUCAAGGACAUCACGGACGUCAUACUGCGCGCCGGCUAUGGGCCGGAGCUCUGCCAGGUCUACAGCGAGGUGCGCCGGGACACGCGCAUGGGGUGCCUCGCCGUGCUUGGGGUCGAUAAGAUGAGCCUGGAGCAGGUGCAGCACGUGGAGUGGGGCAUCCUCGAUGGCAAGAUGAAGAAGUGGAUCCAGGCUCUCAGGGUCGUCGUCCAGGGCCUUCUCGCUGAGGAGCGCCGCAUCUGUGGCCAGAUCCUCGCGGCCGACACAGAUGCCAAGGAAGAGUGCUUUACUGAGGCUACCAAGGGGUGUGUCUUGCAGCUGCUCAACUUCGGUGAUGCCAUUGCGAUUGGCAAGAGAUCGUCCGAGAAGUUGUUCCGCAUUCUUGGCAUGUACGUAUGA